rnacentral:lncRNA from 1 species
GAAUGACCUAAUUCAGAUAAGGACUUUCGGAGCGGCGCGCAGGAGGAGGGGGCCAGGAGGACAGACUGACGGACAGGGCUCCUCUCUUUCCUCGCAGAUGCUGGAGCAGCGCCUGACCUGGGAGAUCCGUGCCUUGCAGAGCAGCAAGGAGCAGCUGCUCACUGAAGGCUGCAGGCGGAGCUGGAGAAAGUCGGGGGGCACGUCCCCGCCCAAACCAACGGCACCGCAGAGGGAGGGGCCGGCCACGGAGAGGCUGGCCCCCAGCGCCCCCGCGCCCGCCACGAGGACGACCUGGAGAGGCCGGGGAGCUGGCCCUGACGCCCCCUCUAGGCCAGAAGGACCCCCCCCACCCCACCCCCGCGGGUCCCCACCUUCCUUCAAGGCCUGCCAAGAAAUAAAGGCGAUGAUCGCGGACCGUCCUCCACCUCCGGGGCUGAGUCUGUGCUCCAGGAGUGGUUGGAGGUGGGGGGCCGUCCCUAGCUCCUUGGGGAGGACAGGGGUUUGGGGGGAGAAGGAGGGGACUCGGGAGGUGGGAGGGGUCCCGGGCACCCUCAGUCUCCUGGCCAGCUCCCGCAGAAGCUCAAUAGAUGUUCCUGAGCCGCUCAGUGAAUGAGCAGGGGUUGAGGAGGUCGCUAUGUCUCCACGGCCUCAUCUCAGGUUCCGGAACCGUCUGUUUUACCCGCAACAGCCGGGGAGAACAUGUUAAAAACUUACGCGAGGUCCUGACGGUCUCCUCGGGUUCAGAGUCAAAUCCCAGCCUCCCAGAGUCCCUGCAUUCCCCCAGACUCCUGCUGACGCCCUGGACCCCUGGGCCCUGUCCGCCUGCCUGGGCUCCCCUCGCACGUUCGGUUCUGGUCGCACAGCUGCGUUCCCAUCCUUUCCUAAGCACCGUGGCAUCCCAGGGCCUUUGCCCUACUGUGUUCUUAGGUGGGGUGCCCUUCUUCCCGUCUCCUCAGACCGCAAGUCUGUGAAGGAUGGCAGCUGCUCCAGGGGCUGGCUGGCGGAGGGGGUAGGGGGGGUGGGCGGGGGGGCGGGGUCCAGUUCCAGGUGUCCCCGCUUACCAAGCAUGUAUGGAUGAAACAAGGCCCUGGGUUGUAACUAGCGUGGUCAGGGAAGGUCUCACUGAGGAAGUGAGUGGUGCCUGAGCAGGGAGGUGAGGGGGCAGGUGAGGCAGCGAGCACUGUGGGUGUCUGGAGAAGGUGCACCUGGCAGAGGGAGUGGGCGCUCAAAGGCUGUGAGGUGGGACUGAGCUUCCUUGUGUUGGAGGAGCUUCUGGAGGGGGCCAGUGUGGUGGAGCAGAGUGAGGUGAAGAGGGCAGGGAGAUAAUAGCGGAGAAUUGCUGGGGACCCAGUCCACUUGGGCCCUGUCUGUCUAGUCUGUGCAGUAUUCCAGGAACAGGACCUGGCACGCAGCAAACCCUCAGUAAAUGUCCGCUAACACUUAUCAUGAUGAUGAUUCAUUUUUAUUCCCAAUCCAUCGGUGAGGGAAACUGAGGUGUGUGAGGCACUUAACAGGGGCUUGUAAUCUAAGUGUUUAAUAAAUGGUUCAUUUAAUUUAUUAUUAUUGUUGUU